CAAUAGCGUAUAUUAAAGUUGUUGCAGUUAAAAAGCUCGUAGUUGGAUUUGUGGCGUACGGUGGGUUCCGGGCACUUGUUGUCUGAGUAACUUGCUGUUACCAUCCUUGGGUGGAACCUGUGUGGCAUUAGGUUGUCGUGCAGGGGAUGCCCAUCAUUUACUGUGAAAAAAUUAGAGUGUUCAAAGCAGGCUUAUGCCGUUGAAUAUAUUAGCAUGGAAUAAUGAGAUAGGACUUUUUUGCUAUUUUGUUGGUUUGCGCAAAGAGGUAAUGAUUAAUAGGGACAGUUGGGGGUAUUCGUAUUCCAUUGUCAGAGGUGAAAUUCUUGGAUUUUUGGAAGACGAACUACUGCGAAAGCAUUUACCAAGGAUGUUUUCAUUAA
rnacentral:rRNA from 1 species